rnacentral:pre_miRNA from 1 species
ACGAUGACUGGGUUGCAGGAAAGCGUGAAUAAGUGCUACAUAGAGAACUUAGUCACGCAUACCCAAAGCCCAGUUCAUCACC